AUACAGAGGGUGCGAGCGUUAAUCGGAUUUACUGGGCGUAAAGCGUGCGUAGGCGGCUUUUUAAGUCGGAUGUGAAAUCCCUGAGCUUAACUUAGGAAUUGCAUUCGAUACUGGGAAGCUAGAGUAUGGGAGAGGAUGGUAGAAUUCCAGGUGUAGCGGUGAAAUGCGUAGAGAUCUGGAGGAAUACCGAUGGCGAAGGCAGCCAUCUGGCCUAAUACUGACGCUGAGGUACGAAAGCAUGGGGAGCAAACAGGAUUAGAUACCCUGGUAGUCCAUGCCGUAAACGAUGUCUACUAGCCGUUGGGGCCUUUGAGGCUUUAGUGGCGCAGCUAACGCGAUAAGUAGACCGCCUGGGGAGUACGGUCGCAAGACUAAAACUCAAAUGAAUCGACGGGG
rnacentral:rRNA from 1 species